UGUUGCAGCGGGGCCUGGGGAAGAGUGCUGCCACCCCAAGCAGGACGACGCAGCAGCAGCCGUAGCUGCUCUGUGGGAGGGAAUUGGCAGGAAUAGUGGUAGCAAUAGCCCCGCAAGCACAAAACGAAGAAGGAGCUGUGCAACUCGCUGCUGCAACCCCAUGGAGGAAGAGCCUGUAUUGUGGUUAUCUGCAGCAAGGGCUGACAGCAGCAUACCAACGGACGUCGGGACCUCCGGCUGGCUCCCCCUACUACGCCUGCUCCCAAUCGUACAAUAUGAUCAAUAACUCCCCUCGCUUCCCACUUGCGUAAUCGCUCCUUCGUUCUUUCCUCUCUCUCUCUCUCUCUCUCCCUUUUACUAACACACCUCCUCGAUAGCCAGCCAGCCAGCGCUCAGCCAAACUACGUUGGUUGAGUUCAUGUGCCGGCAUCUGAUUGAGUGUCGGCGUUUAAUGUAUAUGAUUGUAGGUCGUACUGUAAUUGAGUCUCGCCUCGAUUCAGGUGAAGUCAGUAGUUGUGAGGAUCAGCGCCGGAGCGGUGUUAGUUGAGUGUCGAGAGACGGCAAAGGCUACGUGUAGUUUGGACGAUCGUGUGAUGCUGAUUGAAGUCUUUUUUCCCUUCCCGUGGAGAGGCGUUUUGUUGACUGCGCAACUGAAACGUGAUGCUGUUGUGAUGGUUUAAGGUCAGUAGUUUAAUGUUGUGUGAUGGUACCGGGAUUGUUGGCGUGAGGGUUAGAAAAGGUUUCGAGGUCACUGGUGGAUGGUUUGUUCGUGGACAUCGUCAUGUAGUCACGUUACGUUUUAUUCAUCUCGAUGUGUUGUGUAAAAUAGUUGUUCUAUCGCGAGGCAUUUUCCAGCACUGGAAGCAGUUCAUUGGUCGGGAAAAAUGAUUGUACUCCAUGCUGGCUGUUCUACACUGCAGCGAUAGCCUUUAUAUCAGUGGUCCUAUGAAGACUUUCUGUGUCCACUAAACCGUCUGUGAGCUAUCUGCAGCUAUUUUCAGAUUAGGUCCUGAUCGUUUCGUCUUUGAUAUUAUUCUGGUAUUUUUGCAGGCGAAAGAGUCACUGAGUUGAAUCGGUUGUGAGUUGAAUGUGCAGCGUUCGGUGUGCAAGCAAGCCAGAAAAUCUGGCAGUUAGUUUCCUGGACAAUUUGUAGUAAUGUAUCGAGGAGCGCUUGUUGGACGAGCUUGUUUUGAUCAUGUAUCAAAAGCUUGACCACCUCAGGUUGCUACCGAUGGGCCUCAAUGUCCUGGUUUGAAUUCGCAGACGGACCGAAGAUGGUCUCGCUUACAGUAUCAGAACCGGAGUUAUAUGUCUUAUUUCCUUCUCAACUUCUGCACCGUUCCAUAGGCUAACGAAUAGGUCCAUCGAAAGCGAAGUUAGAAUCCCUCUCUGGGGUUGUAACGCUUCCAGCUGAGCAGGUGCGUUGUGAGUGCACCUAAGGAUAAAUUGCCUAUGAAAAGUCAUUGUAGUAGCGGAGCCGAGAAAUUGAUACGCUUUUUCACACACAUAUGAUUGGAAGAAUUUACGGAUCCUCUGUUAAUUUUGGUUAUCAAAUACAAGGUCAUGGUCAUUAUUGUAAGAGCUUGCUGCCGUUUCUCAUGAUUUUUCUGCCCUAUGCACUGCUGAGCUAGUUGUUGAAGAGGAGCAUUAUCAUUUCGAGCUUAAUUUUUCGGGAAGUGCAGUGAGCGCUUGGUGAUUGUCGGAAUAGAACGAGAAAUUUCUAUUUUAUUAAUGGCUAGGAGACGAUGAAAGCGUUUUCCACCACUCAGAGUGAAGGGAGCUUGCCAUAAUGAUUCUCAUUGCAAGAGCUUGCUGACAGACAAAAUAGGCUGCUUUUUCCUGAUGUGAGGGAAUUUGUUUACUAUCCGACUCAUUCUUAUUAAUGGUACAUUUACAAGUACUGUCGUGAUCAUCCAUAGAGCUAUUCGUGCAUACACAUCCAUUCCUUACAUUUCAGCUGUGUUUCAUGUUCCUCUAUGCAGCGAUAGUUUUGUAAUUCCGUACUUCGUACUCGGAUAAAUAGCACCAGAACCUUCAUCUCUGGAUAGUCUUCAGCAUUACGAGCUAUAAUAGAUUCCAACUUGAAACUAUGGGAAGUUCUGGUCGAGCACAGACUCGAAAGUAUAUUGAACGUUUGGAAUGAGACAAAGAAAACAGUUGAUCAAUCCCGAUAGCAAUCAAAUGUCGAACCAGAGUGGAGCCAGGAGCGGAGUCAGAAGUGAAGCUAGGAGGGGCUCAGAAUCGAGCCCCUGCAUAUCAAAUGGGAGCUCUAGGUCAAAGGUCCCGCUGAAGUGUGGAAGUGGAGUAUACAUGCAUAGAACCACAGGGCCUGGGCGGCUUAGAGUAAAGUGGUGGAAUGACUCAGGAAACACAUAUGUCAGGCCUACGUACAAUGAUUCCAAAGCAGGGCCUAGGUAUGGCCACAAUUGGCACACUAAGGUUUUCGUUUUCUGGGUGGUUUUUAUGGGCGCUGUCUCUCUAUCUGUUUACUUCGCAAUGAGAUUUGACAUGCUUGAACGGAGAAGGGAAAAUCUUGCAAACAUGUGCGAAGGACGGGCUCGUAUGCUUGAGGACCAAUUUAAGGCAAGUAUGAACCAUGUGAGAGCUCUUACUGCUCUUCUCACUACUUUUCAUCUUGGCAAGCAACCUUCAGCAAUUAAUCAGGAAACAUUUGCCACGUAUGCUGCAAGAACAGCAUUUGAGAGACCUUUGAUGAGUGGCGUUGCAUAUGCUGAAAGAGUGCUUCAUGCUAAUCGAGCAAUGUUUGAGUUGACACAUGGUUGGACUAUCAAGGAAAUGUUCUCAAAAGAACGACAACAAGAUUUUGAUGAAUAUGCUCCAACUACAAUGUCUCAAGAGACCGUUUUUUACUUAACUUCACUCGACAUGAUGUCUGGUCAGGAGGACCGGGAGAAUAUUAUCCGGGCACGAGAGUCUGGGAAGGGCGCUUUAACCAAUCCCUUCAGGUUACUAGAAUCGAAGCAUCUCGGCGUUGUAUUCACUUUCGCUGUCUACUCCACUGACCUACCCUUUGAUGCAACGAAAGAAGAUCGAAUUAAAGCAACUGCCGGUUAUCUCGGAGGUGCAUUUGACGUCGAAACUCUUGUGGAGAAUUUAUUGCGUCAAAUGGCUGGUAGCCAGAUUAUUGCGGUAAAUGUAUACGACAUCACCAACGACACAAUGCCUCUUGUAAUGUAUGGCCAUACUAAUGUUGAAAGAUCGGAUAACACGUAUGUCAGCCUUUUGGACUUCGGAGACCCAUUACGCAAUCAUGAAAUGCGGUGCAGGUUUAAAGAAGAUGCGUUACCUCCUUGGACAGCCAUUUCCACAUCAAUAGGCAUAUUUGUGAUAGCGUUUUUGGUCGGACACAUGUUACAUGCAUCUAGGAACCGGAUUGACAAGGUAGAAGAAAAUUGUCGGAUAUUCCAGGAGCUCAAGAUGCGGGCAGAUGAUGCUGUCAUAGCGAAAUCUCAGUUUCUGGCAACUGUCUCUCAUGAAAUACGGACGCCCAUGAACGGUGUUCUAGGAAUGCUUCAAAUGUUGAUGGAUACUCCUUUGAAUUCGACGCAGCUAGACUAUGCUAGAACUGCUCAAGCAAGUGGCAAAGCACUCAUCACCCUAAUUAAUGAGGUUCUAGACCAGGCCAAGAUUGAAUCAGGCCGUCUGGAGCUUGAGCAUGUCCCCUUCGAUUUACGUGCUAUCCUUGACGAUGUACUCUCUCUCUUUCAUGGAAAGUCGAGAGCUUCAGGCAUUGAGUUGGCAGUUUACGUCUCUGAGAAGGUCCCAAAAAUUCUCAUUGGCGACCCAGGUCGCUUUCGGCAGAUAAUUAUUAAUCUCGUUGGCAAUUCUAUCAAAUUUACUGAAGCAGGUCAUAUUUUUGUUUGCGUCCAUCUGAAUGAAGAUGUAAAUAUGGUAAUGGGUUGGGAUGGAGGUGAUGCCGAUGACACUCUAGAUGGGGAGGUUGAAAGCGCUAGACCUCUUAUUGAAAAGGGGCAUCAGUUCAAUACUCUUAGUGGCAGAGAAACUGCUGACCUCCGAAAUAGCUGGGAGAUGUUUGAGCGACUGCUUACUCAAGAACAGUCAUAUCGGUCAGCUGGAGAUCGUGAGACAUGGAAUUAUGAUUCGAAUGAUGUUGUAGAACUGGUGGUUAGUGUAGAGGACACUGGUGUUGGCAUACCCUUGCAUGUACAAGACCGUGUAUUCACACCUUUCAUGCAGGCCGACAGCUCAACAUCAAGAACCUACGGAGGCACAGGUAUCGGACUAAGCAUAAGCCGAUGCCUAGUGGAGCUUAUGUCUGGAGAGAUGGACUUUGUCAGUAGUCCUGGGGUGGGAUCUACUUUCACAUUUACCGCAGAAUUUCAACGAGUACCUGCAAAUGUACCAGAGAGCAUAUUAAGAGAAGGCAGCAAUUGCCUGUUACAAACGCCCCCAUUACCUACUUGUUUUCAAGGCAUGCGUGUACUCGUAGUGGAUGGUAGACAAGUCCGUUGUGAAGUCACGCGUCAUCAUUUGAAAAGGCUUGGUCUACAGGUUGAGGUCGCCCACUCCGUUCCUGAGGCUGCUGAGCUUCUCACCACAGUGGUUAACCGCGGUUCUCGCGGUACUCGUAAUUCGCGUGGCUCCAUUUCUGCGGACAUCGAAAUGAUCUUUGUAGAUAAGGAUGCAUGGGGUCCAGGAACUGGGAUGAAUUUUCGGUCUCUUCUUUCUGAAUGUUACAUGGAGUCCCCCUCGAGUUACCACAAUGCACGAGCAAGUUACCAGUAUCGGUUAACAGCAGGCAGGCUCCCCAUAGGAUUUCAGGUUCAUUCUAUGCAGAAGAUGGUUCUAGUUGCGACAUCGAUGAAUGGGCUGGAGCUUGAGAUGGUGAAGGCUAGUGGAUUUGUGGAUACUGUUAUUAGAAAACCUCUUCGAGCAAGUUUGGUGGCUGCUUGCCUUAAGCAGAUUCUUGGAGUGGGAGAUGGGAGGGACCCAGGGCAGGAGUUACGGGGUGGAGUUAAUUCUCUUCAGAACCUCUUAUCUGGAAAAAGAAUUCUAGUGGUUGAUGAUAAUCCCGUGAAUCGAAAGGUAGCAGCCGGGGCUCUCAACAAGUAUGGUGCUCAAGUUGAGUGUGUUCACAGCGGAAGAGCAGCAAUCCAGAAGUUAAAACCUCCUCACAACUUUGAUGCGUGUUUCAUGGAUGUGCAAAUGCCAGAAAUGGAUGGUUUUCAAGCAACGGGUUUGAUAAGGAAAGCAGAAACUUUAGCCGCAGACCAGUGGCUAGCAGCGGGUUUGCCAACCUUUGGAGUCCGAUUUCAUGUACCAAUUUUGGCCAUGACAGCGGACGUUAUUCAAGCAACAUCAGAAGAAUGUAUGCGUUGUGGUAUGGAUGGCUAUGUGGCUAAGCCUUUUGAUGAACAUCAGCUUUAUCAGGCGGUUGCAAAGCAUUUCUUCCAGGCGAAUUAAUGUUCUAUAUUAUACACAUUCCAGUCUGAGACCUCAUUAACUGCAGACCCUGGAUUUUUAUCGAGGACUACAAAGUCCAGCUGGUUCCAUAUUCUUAGGUCCAAUUCAUGUGAUGCAGGAUCGCAUGAGAACGUGACAAUGUGGGAUUCUCACUGCAUGUUUUAGCAGCUGAUCAGCAUUUUACAAUAACAGCUUGUAAUCAAUUAAAUUCUCUUGAAAAAUUUCAAGUGUCUGGUGAAUAUCUUUUUGGUAGUGUUUUAUAAUUAUCACCGGCUCACCCACCAUCGUUUUAUUUUAUUAUUAUUAUUAUUAUUAUUAUUUGCUGCCCUA